UACGGGGGGAGCAAGCGUUGUUCGGAUUUACUGGGCGUAAAGGGCGCGUAGGCGGCGUGACAAGUCACUUGUGAAAUCUCCGGGCUUAACUCGGAACGGUCAAGUGAUACUGUCGUGCUAGAGUACAGAAGGGGCAACUGGAAUUCUCGGUGUAGCGGUGAAAUGCGUAGAAAUCGAGAGGAACACCUGCGGCGAAGGCGGGUUGCUGGGCUGAUACUGACGCUGAGGCGCGAAAGCCAGGGGAGCGAACGGG
rnacentral:rRNA from 1 species